rnacentral:rRNA from 1 species
AACGAACGCUGGCGGCAGGCUUAACACAUGCAAGUCGAACGGGUGCAGCAAUGCAUCAGUGGCAGACGGGUGAGUAACACGUGGGAACCUUCCUAGGGGUACGGAACAACUCAGGGAAACUUGAGCUAAUACCGUAUGUGUCCGAGAGGAGAAAGAUUUAUCGCACUUAGACGGGCCCGCGUCGGAUUAGCUAGUGGGUGGGGUAACGGCCUACCAAGGCGACGAUCCGUAGCUGAUUUUAGAGGAUGAUCAGCCACACUGGGACUGAGACACGGCCCAGACUCCUACGGGAGGCAGCAGUGGGGAAUCUUGGACAAUGGGCGCAAGCCUGAUCCAGCCAUGCCGCGUGAGUGAAGAAGGUCUUCGGAUUGUAAAGCUCUUUUGCCAGGGACGAUAAUGACGGUACCUGGAGAAUAAGCCCCGGCAAACUUCGUGCCAGCCGCGCAGUAA